rfam:Eucalyptus grandis cultivar BRASTZ1 unplaced genomic scaffold scaffold_9, whole genome shotgun sequence.
GGCUCUGUGAUUAUAUGCCCUUUUCUUGGGCGAUAUACGCUAUUCCGAUCAAAUAACCAUGAGCCGAAAAUCCAAUGUGUUUCUUAUGAGAGCC